rnacentral:rRNA from 1 species
UCAAGCGAAUAAGCGCACACGGUGGAUGCCUUGGCGGUCAGAGGCGAUGAAGGACGUGGCAGCCUGCGAAAAGUAUCGGGGAGCUGGCAACAAGCUUUGAUCCGGUAAUGUCCGAAUGGGGAAACCCACCCGCUUGCGGGUAUCCUGCAGUGAAUACAUAGCUGCUGGAAGCGAACCUGGUGAACUGAAAUAUCUAAGUAACCAGAGGAAAAGAAAUCAACCGAGAUUCCGUAAGUAGCGACGAGCGAACGCGGACUAGCCCUUAAGCUGAUUUGGUUCUAGGAAAACGCUCUGGAAAGAGCGGCCAUAGAAGGUGAUAGCCCUGUAUCUGAAAGGGCCAUUUCAGUGAAGACGAGUAGGGCGGGGCACGUGAAACCCUGUCUGAACAUGGGGGGACCAUCCUCCAAGGCUAAAUACUACUGACCGACCGAUAGUGAACCAGUACCGUGAGGGAAAGGCGAAAAGAACCCCGGAGAGGGGAGUGAAAUAGAACCUGAAACCGUGUGCGUACAAGCAGUAGGAGCUCCGCAAGGAGUGACUGCGUACCUUUUGUAUAAUGGGUCAGCGACUUACUGUUCGUGGCAAGCUUAACCGUAUAGGGGAGGCGAAGGGAAACCGAGUCUGAUAAGGGCGCAUAGUCGCGGGCAGUAGACCCGAAACCGGGUGAUCUAGUCAUGCCCAGGGUGAAGGUGCGGUAACACGCACUGGAGGCCCGAACCCACUCCCGUUGCAAAGGUAGGGGAUGAGGUGUGAUUAGGAGUGAAAAGCUAAUCGAACCCGGAGAUAGCUGGUUCUCCUCGAAAGCUAUUUAGGUAGCGCCUCAUAUGUAUCCUCUCGGGGGUAGAGCACUGUUAUGGCUAGGGGGUCAUCGCGACUUACCAAACCAUUGCAAACUCCGAAUACCGAGACGGACUGUAUGGGAGACACACGGCGGGUGCUAACGUCCGUCGUGAAAAGGGAAACAACCCAGACCCACAGCUAAGGUCCCAAAUUUUGUGCUAAGUGGAAAACCAUGUGGAAAGGCACAGACAGCCAGGAGGUUGGCUUAGAAGCAGCCACCCUUUAAAGAAAGCGUAAUAGCUCACUGGUCGAGUCGGUCUGCGGGGAAGAUUUAACGGGGCUAAGCACAGAACCGAAGCUUGGGGUGCAUAACUUUGUUAUGCGCGGUAGAGGAGCGUUCCGUAAGCCGUUGAAGGUGGAUUGAGAAGUCUGCUGGAGGUAUCGGAAGUGCGAAUGCUGACAUGAGUAACGAUAAUGCGGGUGAAAAACCCGCACGCCGAAAGCCCAAGGUUUCCUUGCGCAACGUUAAUCGGCGCAGGGUGAGUCGGCCCCUAAGGCGAGGACGAAAGUCGUAGUCGAUGGGAAGCAGGUUAAUAUUCCUGCACCUCGCGUAAGUGCGAUGGAGGGACGGAGAAGGUUAGGUGUACCAGGCGUUGGUUGUCCUGGGGAAAGGCGGUAGGUUUGGAUCUUUGGCAAAUCCGGGAUCCUUUAAGACCGAGCACCGAGACGAGCCUUUAUGGCAAAGUCACUGAUACCACGCUUCCAGGAAAAGCUCCUAAGCUUCAGCUUACGCAGACCGUACCGUAAACCGACACAGGUGGGUAGGAUGAGAAUUCUCAGGCGCUUGAGAGAACUCGGGUGAAGGAACUAGGCAACAUGGCACCGUAACUUCGGGAGAAGGUGCACCCUUUUUGGUGGCUCGUGCGAGCUAUAGCUGAAGAGGGUCGCAGUAACCAGGCCGCUGCGACUGUUUAUCAAAAACACAGCACUCUGCAAACACGAAAGUGGACGUAUAGGGUGUGACGCCUGCCCGGUGCUGGAAGGUUAAUUGAUGGGGUCGGCCGCAAGGCGAAGCUCUUGAUCGAAGCCCCAGUAAACGGCGGCCGUAACUAUAACGGUCCUAAGGUAGCGAAAUUCCUUGUCGGGUAAGUUCCGACCUGCACGAAUGGCGUAACGACAGCGGCGCUGUCUCCACCCGAGACUCAGUGAAAUUGAAAUCGCUGUGAAGAUGCAGCGUUCCCGUGGCAAGACGGAGAGACCCCGUGAACCUUUACUAUAGCUUUACACUGAACGUUGAGUUCGUCUGUGUAGGAUAGGUGGGAGGCUAUGAAACCAUGGCGCUAGCUGUGGUGGAGCCAUCCUUGAAAUACCACCCUGUCGUGCUUGACGUUCUAACCUGGGCCCAUUAUCUGGGUCGGGGACCGUGUAUGGUGGGUAGUUUGACUGGGGCGGUCUCCUCCUAAAGAGUAACGGAGGAGCUCGAAGGUACGCUCAGCGCGGUCGGACAUCGCGCACUGUGUGCAAAGGCAUAAGCGUGCUUGACUGCAAGAUCGACGGAUCAAGCAGGUAGGAAACUAGGACUUAGUGAUCCGGUGGUUCUGUAUGGAAGGGCCAUCGCUCAACGGAUAAAAGGUACUCCGGGGAUAACAGGCUGAUACCGCCCAAGAGUUCAUAUCGACGGCGGUGUUUGGCACCUCGAUGUCGGCUCAUCACAUCCUGGGGCUGUAGUCGGUCCCAAGGGUAUGGCUGUUCGCCAUUUAAAGUGGUACGCGAGCUGGGUUCAGAACGUCGUGAGACAGUUCGGUCCCUAUCUGCCAUGGGCGUUGGAGAUUUGAGAGGGGCUGCUCCUAGUACGAGAGGACCGGAGUGGACGAACCUCUGGUGUUCCGGUUGUCACGCCAGUGGCAUUGCCGGGUAGCUAUGUUCGGAAGCGAUAACCGCUGAAAGCAUCUAAGCGGGAAGCGCGCCUCAAGAUGAGAUCUCCCGGGGCACAAGUCCCCUGAAGGAACCAUGUAGACUACGUGGUUGAUAGGUCAGGUGUGUAAGUACAGCAAUGUAUUGAGCUAACUGAUACUAAUGAUCCGUGCGGCUUGACCAU